UUUAGCAUUUUAAACUCUGUACAUAACACUAUUUUGUCAGUUAACCUUUGUUAAAAUAUCAUUUUGUUCGAUAAAGUGGGAAACACUGUGGCCUUAUAGUCAUUGCAGAGGACUCCGGUCAGGGAGAGGAAUAAAACACUUAGACGCUUUUAAAAUGUUACGAGAACCGGAAACUCAGAGAAAAGCUGAGAAUUUCCUUCUGUGAUUUGUUGGACUGGAACGGACUUUAACUUAAUUCAAAUCCAGAUUGAGACUAGGAUCAUCGUACGCGUUCCGGAUUGGCUGUCUUAUGUCGGGUAAUUAAAAGAAAGUCUAAAGGUCAUUCCAAGUGAACAGAAAGGUGCUAAUAAUUGCGCAGUAUCGACUCUGGAACUGAAAGGAAACAACUUGACGAGUAUACGGGUGUAUAAAGACUAGUUCGCGAAGAUCCAGUGUUAUCAACUGAUAUGGGUAUUUUUUAAGUCGGAAGAACAGAGUAAAAUUUGAGCAGAAACAUCUUUGUACAGAGCAGGCUAUUUAAAGAAAGGUUAGAGGUGCGAGCAAUUUACGAGAGGGCUGACGACAUUGCCA